rnacentral:rRNA from 1 species
GCAUAUCAAUAAGCGGAGGAAAAGAAACCAACAGGGAUUGCCUCAGUAACGGCGAGUGAAGCGGCAAAAGCUCAAAUUUGAAAUCUAGCACUUUCAGUGUUCGAGUUGUAAUUUGAAGAAGGUAACUUUGGUUUUGGCUCUUGUCUAUGUUCCUUGGAACAGGACGUCACAGAGGGUGAGAAUCCCGUGCGAUGAGAUGCCCAAUUCCAUGUAAAGUGCUUUCGAAGAGUCGAGUUGUUUGGGAAUGCAGCUCUAAGUGGGUGGUAAAUUCCAUCUAAAGCUAAAUAUUGGCGAGAGACCGAUAGCGAACAAGUACAGUGAUGGAAAGAUGAAAAGAACUUUGAAAAGAGAGUGAAAAAGUACGUGAAAUUGUUGAAAGGGAAGGGCUUGAGAUCAGACUUGGUAUUUUGCGUUCCCUUCCUUUUUGGUUGGGUUCCUCGCAGUUUACUGGGCCAGCAUCGGUUUGGAUGGUAGGAUAAUGACAUUGGAAUGUAGCUUUACUUCGGUGAAGUGUUAUAGACUUUGUUGAUACUGCCUAUCUAGACCGAGGACUGCGUCUUUGACUAGGAUGCUGGCGUAAUGAUCUUAAGCCGCCCGUCUUGAAACACGGACCA